rnacentral:rRNA from 1 species
GACGAACGCUGGCGGCGUGCUUAACACAUGCAAGUCGAGCGGUAAGGCCUUUCGGGGUACACGAGCGGCGAACGGGUGAGUAACACGUGGGUGAUCUGCCCUGCACUCUGGGAUAAGCCUGGGAAACUGGGUCUAAUACUGGAUAUGACCUCAGCAUGCAUGUGCUGGGGUGGAAAGCUUUUGUGGUGCAGGAUGGGCCCGCUGCCUAUCAGCUUGUUGGUGGGGUAAUGGCCUACCAAGGCGACGACGGGUAGCCGACCUGAGAGGGUGACCGGCUACACUGGGCCUGAGACACGGCCCAGACUCCUACGAGAGGCAGCAGUGGGAAAUAUUGCACAAUGGGCGGAAUCCUGAUGCAGCGACGCCGCGUAAGGGAUGAAGGCCUUCGGGUUGUAAACCUCUUUCAGCAGGGACGAAGCGUGAGUGACGGUACCUGCAGAAGAAGCACCGGCUAACUACGUGCCAGCAGCAGCCGCCG